rnacentral:rRNA from 1 species
AACGAACGCUGGCGGCAGGCCUAACACAUGCAAGUCGAGCGAGGACUUCGGUUCUAGCGGCGGACGGGUGAGUAACGCGUGGGAAUGUGCCCUUCUCUACGGAAUAGCCCUGGGAAACUGGGAGUAAUACCGUAUACGCCCUAUUGGGGAAAGAUUUAUCGGAGAAGGAUCAGCCCGCGUUGGAUUAGGUAGUUGGUGGGUUAAUGGCCUACCAAGCCGACGAUCCAUAGCUGGUUUGAGAGGAUGAUCAGCCACACUGGGACUGAGACACGGCCCAGACUCCUACGGGAGGCAGCAGUGGGGAAUCUUAGACAAUGGGGGCAACCCUGAUCGAGCCAUGCCGCGUGAGUGAUGAAGGCCUUAGGGUUGUAAAGCUCUUUCAGCUGGGAAGAUAAUGACGGUACCAGCAGAAGAAGCCCCGGCUAACUCCGUG